rnacentral:rRNA from 1 species
GACGAACCGUGCGAACGUUGUUCGGAAUCACUGGGCUUAAAGGGCGCGUAGGCGGCUUCUCAAGUCGGGGGUGAAAUCUUUCGGCUCAACCGGAAAAGUGCCUCCGAUACUGGGAAGCUCGAGGGAGGUAGGGGCGGACGGAACUUCCGGUGGAGCGGUGAAAUGCGUUGAUAUCGGAAGGAACGCCGGUGGCGAAAGCGGUCCGCUGGCCCUCUACUGACGCUGAGGCGCGAAAGCCAGGGGAGCAAACGGG